rnacentral:lncRNA from 1 species
GGAGGCCUUUCCGCCCCCAUCCUGUCCCGGGUACCUAGCGCGUUCUGGCGCGGAGGUUUAAAGAUUCGGGGGUUGCCCUCCGCUCUCCAGCGGGGUCGGUUCUGUUUUCCCCCCUUCCCCGUCCGCCCUCUUCCGACGGUCUCGGGCCCCUCCUCUUGCCGCGUGCCCCGUCCGCGGGUCUCGCGGCUAGAGGUCGGGGGUUUGGUGCCCCCGAGACGGGAAGGGCGGGUCUGGGUGGGGGGGUCUUGGGACGGCCGCCCCCUGGGUUUGCCGGACGGGCCAGUGGGAAGAGGAGAUGCCUGGCUCCGACUUCUCCCGUUCUCCGGUGUGGUGCUGGGUUCGGGUCCCGGUCGUGGGGGACCGCCCGCCCGCCCUCGGUGAGGUGUGCUCCGCGUGGAGGCCGCGUCUCCCCGGUCUUUCGUGCUCCCCUGGCCUUCUGGGGGAGGAAAGCGAUCCCGCCCGCCGCGUCGCUCCGUGUCUGGUGGCGUGGGGGGGGAAAGCCUCGUACGGCCUGCGGGCCGCGACGAGCUCGGCCGUGGGGUCGAGGGCAGUAAGUAGUCCGGUCAUCGGGGGAGGGGGGAGGAUAGAGCGGAGUGCUCUUUUCCCCCUCUGUGUGCGUGCGUGGGGUGACCGCGGUUCGCGCUGUCGUCGCCCGGAUUCGUGUCGGGGGGGGGGGGGGGGGCCGGGGGUGAGGUGCCGCGGGGGACCGCCCCCCGGACGGAGCCCGGCCGCCGCCGGGCGCAUUUCCACCGAGGCGGUGCGCCGCGACCGUCUCCGGGACGGCUGGGAAGGCCGGGCUUUUCCCUGGGCAGAUCCCCGAAUCCGGAGUGGCGGAGACGGGCGCCGUGAGGCGUCCAGUGCGGUAACGGCUGGGUCGGUCGGGCUGGGGCGCGAAGCGGGGCUGGGCGCGCGCCGCGGCUGGACGAGGCGCCGCCGCUCCCCCUCCCGGCGCUCUCCCGCCGGACGCCUCCCCGCGGUUUCUAUGAUUGAAUACUGGAAGAGCACAAUCUUGCAGCUCUCUGGGGCUGGUUUCCUCUUGGACCCUUCU